rnacentral:rRNA from 1 species
CUACGGGACGCUGCAGUGAGGAAUAUUGCACAAUGGGGGGAACCCUGAUGCAGCAACGCCGCGCGGAGGAUGACGCAUUUCGGUGUGUAAACUCCUUUUAUAUGUCAAGAAAAUGACGGUAGCAUAUGAAUAAGCACCGGCUAACUCCGUGCCAGCAGCCGCGGUAAUACGGAGGGUGCAAGCGUUACUCGGAAUCACUGGGCGUAAAGGAUGCGUAGGCGGGUUGGAAAGUCAGGUGUGAAAUCCUACAGCUUAACUGUAGAACUGCACUUGAAACUUCUAAUCUAGAGUAUGGGAGGGGGAGAUGGAAUUAGUGGUGUAGGAGUAAAAUCCGUAGAUAUCACUAGGAAUACCUAAAGCGAAGGCGAUCUCCUGGAACAUUACUGACGCUAAGGCGUGAAAGCGUGGGGAGCAAACAGGAUUAGAUACCCGAGUAGUC